UGCUCAUGCUCCUCGUGAUCAUGGUCAUGAUCGUGAUGAUGAUGCUCGUGCUCUUCGUGAUCAUGGUCAUGGUCAUGGUCGUGAUGAUGA
rnacentral:pre_miRNA from 1 species